CAAAUAAUGGAGGACAAACGGGGGCUAAAUCUGGCUAAAAACUGCAAGAUUGUUCUAUUAAAUAAGUGUAAUAGUGGGUUUCUUUUAGCAAGAUUAAAUUAAUGAAUUGGUAUGUGAGAAUUAUUCCGUAAACUUAUGGUCAUCUUUUUGUGAUGCAGUUAUAUUUGCAGAAGCAGUUGCGCUUAUAGCUGCUAGCACUGUUCAUCGAGUUUGUAUCACAACAUGGUAAUGCAAUCAUGCUUCUGAUCUUUACUUGAUCGUCAUUGUAUUUUUAUAUUUUGAAUAAGAAGUCCAAUUUUAGUUGUGUAUUUAAUUUGAGUUCAUAAAGUAGGAGGCAUUAUAGAAUACAAUUUCAACUGAACUGGUUCCUUGUAGUUUCACAUGAACAGUAGAAAGUAUAAGUAGUGCGGCCAAAGGAGUCCUUACUGGUUGAUCUCCAUUUUGGUUAAAUUGAAAGUAUCCCUGAGCUCAGACUUUUGUUGACUACUAGGUUCUUUAGAUAUAUGUUCAAGCUAUACCUACACGAAUAAAAUCAUAUUCAACUCUAUGUGAUGUGCUUUUAUCUGCUGUCCAAGCCCCUACCUUUAAAAGACUUUGAAUAGAAGAAGGCUUACCAAAAAUUAGGGUAGAGUUGUGCAGUCAAGUUUGUAGUUAGAGAAGAGUCAUGAAUGCAUCUUUGUCCUGCACUAAUGAAUAUGGAAUUCCAAUCCAUUUUGAGCCACCUCAUCCAUAUGCGUGUUCUUACUAUUUAUAACUUUCAAAAUAAAACCACGUUUCUCUGUGGGAGUCAUCAUCGCUUUUGGGGUGGCUUCCACUUCUCUGAAGGGAACGAUCUCUCAUAUUCCAGGGAGCAGCCUAACUAUUGGUCUAUCAACUGGCCAUGAGAUAUUGAUAUAUGUAACAAACUGCUUCAAUGGCAUCUUGGGAUUGACCAUGAAUUUUGAUUUUAUGUAAUAAGCUAAAAUUCUUACACCUUCUCAAGUCAUAGUCUAUUAUGUUGUUAUUGCCUUGAAAAAUACUGAUGAAAGAACUUAAAUGCUAUAACAAAUUAUUUGCUGUGGAAUUUUUUUUUUCACUCUGAUUAAGUGCUUUUUGGAUACCAAUGCAGCUUUCUGUUUUCUGCGGGGCUAUUAUAUGAGAUCAACAAACUUUCGGGAAUGAUGCUUUCCAAAAGUGAAUCCAAAAGUAAAAGGUAUUGAGUUGAAAUUGUUGCCUUGGAGGAACUGCUUCCUUCAAGAACUCUCUUGGGGCUUUUUGUUAGAUACUUGCAUAAGCGAGAUGCACUGGUUAGUGGAAUAGACUGAGAAGUUUGAAUAUGGAUGGUUAAAUUUUGUGGUUAUUAGAUGCUAAGGGGCCUUAUUAAUAUAUAGAUAUAACCUCAUUUGUGCAACUGCAAUGGUAAGAAUUAAAUGAACAUAUGAGGCGUCUUAUUUAUUUUUCAAUUUUUAUGUUAUACUUCUAUGAGACUUAUUUACAUCGUUCU
rnacentral:lncRNA from 1 species